rnacentral:rRNA from 1 species
AGAAGCACCGGCUAACUCCGUGCCAGCAGCCGCGGUAAUACGGAGGGUGCAAGCGUUAAUCGGAAUUACUGGGCGUAAAGCGCACGCAGGCGGUUUGUUAAGUCAGAUGUGAAAUCCCCGGGCUCAACCUGGGAACUGCAUCUGAUACUGGCAAGCUUGAGUCUCGUAGAGGGGGGUAGAAUUCCAGGUGUAGCGGUGAAAUGCGUAGAGAUCUGGAGGAA